UACAGAGGUCCCAAGCGUUGUUCGGAUUCACUGGGCGUAAAGGGUGCGUAGGUGGCGGGGUAAGUCGGAUGUGAAAUCUCCAGGCUCAACCUGGAAACGGCAUUGGAAACUACCUUGCUAGAGGAUCGGAGGGGGGACUGGAAUACUUGGUGUAGCAGUGAAAUGCGUAGAUAUCAAGUGGAACACCAGUGGCGAAGGCGAGUCCCUGGACGAUUCCUGACGCUGAGGCACGAAAGCUAGGGGAGCAAACAGG
rnacentral:rRNA from 1 species